CCCUGGUUAACUCAGUCGGUAGAGCGCUCCACCUGUAAUGGAGAGGUCCCGGGUUCGAUACCCGGACCAGGCG
rnacentral:tRNA from 2 species